rnacentral:rRNA from 1 species
AUUGAACGCUGGCGGCAAGCUUAACACAUGCAAGUCGAGCGGGGUGAUGGUGCUUGCACUAUCACUUAGCGGCGGACGGGUGAGUAAUGCUUAGGAAUCAGCCUAUUAGUGGGGGACAACAUCUCGAAAGGGAUGCUAAUACCGCAUACGUCCUACGGGAGAAAGCAGGGGAUCACUUGUGACCUUGCGCUAAUAGAUGAGCCUAAGUCGGAUUAGCUAGUUGGUGGGGUAAGGGCCUACCAAGGCGACGAUCUGUAGCGGGUCUGAGAGGAUGAACCGCCACACUGGGACUGAGACACGGCCCAGACUCCUACGGGAGGUAGCAGUGGGGAAUAUUGGACAAUGGGGGGAACCCUGAUCCAGCCAUGCCGCGUGUGUGAAGAAGGCCUUAUGGUUGUAAAGCACUUUAAGCGAGGAGGAGGCUCUUUUGGUUAAUACCCAAGAUGAGUGGACGUUACUCGCAGAAUAAGCACCGGCUAACUCUGUGCCAGCCGCCGCAGUAA